AUUUAAUUCAGGUAAAUUUGUUUGCAGGUUCUUCUUCUCCAUCUUAAUUGAUUCUAUCUUAACAAAAGAUUCAGCGUAUAGCUUCUCCAAUGAUUAACGUAAGAGCAGAAUAAAUCAAGGUUGUGAUUAUGGAUUCUUCUAAUGCAUCAAAUUCAAAUGCCACAAACACUACCUGUGAUUCAUUGCCCUCUUCUUCGGCUACUCAAACUAAAGAUCCAGCAUGGGAAUGGGGUGAACGCCAAGACCUAGCAAAUCAAAAUAUUAUUACUUGUUUGUUAUGUAAGAAAUUAAUUCGUGGUGGUGGAAUUACUAGGCUUAAGGAGCAUCUUUUACAUAUUAAAGGGAAUGUUUCUUCAUGUCCAAAUGUGUCCAUUGACAUUAUGAACAAAGUUAGUCUGGUGUAUUCUGUAAAG